ACCAAAUAGAUACCCGGGUAGUCCACGCCCUAAACGAUGCGAACUGGAUGUUGGGUACAUUACGGUACUCAGUGUCGAAAGCUAAACGCGUUAAGUUCGCCGCCUGGGGAGUACGGUCGCAAGACUGAAACUCAAAGGAAUUGACGGGGGCCCGCACAAGCGGUGGAGUAUGUGGUUUAAUUCGAUGCAACGCGAAGAACCUUACCUGGCCUUGACAUCUGUCGAAUCCUGCAGAGAUGCGGGAGUGCCGCAAGGAACGACAAGACAGGUGCUGCAUGGCUGUCGUCAGCUCGUGUCGUGAGAUGUUGGGUUAAGUCCCGCAACGAGCGCAACCCUUGUCCCUAGUUGCCAGCACGUAAUGGUGGGAACUCUAGGGUAGACUGCCGGUGACAAACCGGAGGAAGGUGGGGAUGACGUCAAGUCCUCAUGGCCCUUACGG
rnacentral:rRNA from 1 species